CUCAACUGCCUGAAAACGCCUCAUCCACAUUCCUGUUUGAAAUUCCUCCAUAAGUGAUGCCCAGAUUUUCAUAU